AAUAGUUGAAUAAAAAAUAGAAUAGAAUAGAAUAUUUUUAUUUCACUUGCUCAUAACAACAAAAAAGUUUUACAUAUCAACUUAAAAAAAAAUGUAGUAGUUCAAAUAAAUUUACAACUGCAUAAUAUCAGAAAAAUACAUAGAAU